GAAAGGCAGCUGCUGAUGCAGCUCUAGUUCAAACUUCACCUCGCAGAAAGGAGGGAUAAGAUCCUGCUUUAUACCAGGAUCUCCAAUGUUUAUAGAAAGAAUUGUUGAAGUUUUUUGUAUGAUUUAUUUAUUCAAAGCAGAGGUCAAUUUAACGCUAAUUUUUGCAACUUUUGAAGCUUUUCACAUUUUAUCCCAUUCCAACCACAAACUCUUGUGUAUUUUACUAGGAUUUUAUGACAGAGCGACACAAAGUACUGUAUAUUUAUCGAGUGGAAGGAAAAGGAUGCAUUCAUCCAUCAGACUGGAUAGAGAACAUCUGUGAACAUCAAUUUCAAGACUUACUACAGAUUCUCAACUGGAUUUCUAGCAUAUAAAUAUGCUGGAAAGUGCUUGCAAGCCAAAAAAUAUAAUUCUUCAAACCUAACAUCACCAAAGAUGCUGGGGUUUUUUUUCCUACGUUCAAAACUAUAAACUAAUCAUGAACUAUUUUAAUUAAACAAAUGAUGUGAUUUGUGAUUGUCCAUCCAAAACUUGAAUUGGUUUUUGCAUGCUUCCCUUAUAAAACUGAAGCCAUCCAGUUUGCUUAUUAAUCUGGACUCGAUUGAAGAAAACUAAAAAAUAUUUAGUCCUUUCUCAGCAAUAAAAACAGCAUCUAGGUCACUCUACAUUGAAAACACUUGCUGCAGUUAGCCAGGUUGUAAUACAGCAACUAAAAGCAGAUUUGUGUGCACAAAGAUGUAACUUAAAGCAUAGCCAAUGAGUAAAGUCAAAGAGCAUUAAUAACUUUCCAAGGCACUGAAUUUGCGUUUAUUGGUCCAAAAGGUUUCCAACCUAUGACUAUCAUGUUUCUUCACCCUUGUCAGUUGUUUCCACGCUCAUGCAGGGUGUCUGCGCCUCCUUAAAAUGUCUUAAAUCCAUGUAACUAAUAAAUUAAAACCUUAAAAUAUCUUAAAUACAUUAAUCACAUCUUAAAUUUGGUUGUGGCAGGACUAAUUUUGUAUAUUCUAUGUUGCUAUUUUUUCUGGCAUGACUUUUCUGUCAGGCAAAAGUUUGAGUCGCACAUCUUUAUUACAUUGUUUGACUUGAGGCUGAGCUGCUAAUGUAGCCUCGCUAGCUAGGUUGUAGAGAGCCAUAUGCAGUGUGAGAAGCAUAAAGCUGCUGCCAAGAACCACAAACAGACCCUGGAAAUGUCACAGUUGUGAUACUGGUGUUAAAUUUAAUUCACAAUGGUCUUAAAAAGGUCCUUAAAAGUUGUUAAAUUUGAGUUGGAGAAGCCUGCAGAAACCCUG